rnacentral:rRNA from 1 species
AGGCGACGAUCCCUAGCUGGUCUGAGAGGAUGACCAGCCACACUGGAACUGAGACACGGUCCAGACUCCUACGGGAGGCAGCAGUGGGGAAUAUUGCACAAUGGGCGCAAGCCUGAUGCAGCCAUGCCGCGUGUAUGAAGAAGGCCUUCGGGUUGUAAAGUACUUUCAGCGGGGAGGAAGGGAGUAAAGUUAAUACCUUUGCUCAUUGACGUUACCCGCAGAAGAAGCACCGGCUAACUCCGUGCCAGCAGCCGCGGUAAUACGGAGGGUGCAAGCGUUAAUCGGAAUUACUGGGCGUAAAGCGCACGCAGGCGGUUUGUUAAGUCAGAUGUGAAAUCCCCGGGCUCAACCUGGGAACUGCAUCUGAUACUGGCAAGCUUGAGUCUCGUAGAGGGGGGUAGAAUUCCAGGUGUAGCGGUGAAAUGCGUAGAGAUCUGGAGGAAUACCCGGUGGCGAAGGCGGCCCCCUGACGAAGACUACGCUCAG